rfam:Cedecea davisae DSM 4568 genomic scaffold Scaffold0, whole genome shotgun sequence.
GGCAAAAAAAAGACCGAACACGAUUCCUGUAUUCGGUCCAGGGAAAUGGCUCUUGGGAGAGAGCCGUGCGCUAAAAGUUGGCAUUAAUGCAGGCUAAGUCGCCUUGCCUCUUAAGAAUAGAUUACCGACGCAGGUUUUCCAGUCC